rnacentral:lncRNA from 1 species
UGGCUGGCUGGUACACAGGCAGUCCAUAUUAAUCAGUAAGUAUUUUGUACUCCAUCAGCCACUCCAAAGACUAUUUUUCCUCUCAAACUUCAUCCACAAAUCGAGGCUUACAUACUCUUUGCAUCAAACCAAAACUAAAAUCAGGCACUCUUCCUCUCUCUAAAUCACACAUUCCCCCCUCCCCCUUCUCUAUGUCUGAGCAGAG